rnacentral:lncRNA from 1 species
AUGGUGAACAUUCCUAAAAACCAUCAAACUUUCUGUAACGCGUGUGGCAAGCACCAACCCUACAAAAUGACACAGUGCAAGAAGAGCAAGAAGGAUUCUAUGUGUGCCCAGGGUAAGCAGCAUUAUGACAGGAAGCAGAGUGGCUAUGGUGGGCAUACUAAACCCAUUUUCUGGAAUUCUGUAAAAAGGCUACUGCCAAAAAGAAGACUGUGAUGAGGCUUCAGUGCUUUGAGCCCAGUUGCAAAUCUAAGAGAAUGCUGCCUAUUAAGAGAAGCAAGCAUUUUGAACCGGGAGGAGAAAAGAAGAGAAAGAGCCAAAUUAACUAGUUCUAA